GGGCAAGAGCACCAAAGGAAUUAUAACUGCCAUGGCCUCUAUGGCACCUUUGUCACAGGAGCAUGCUGACAUGGACAUAUUCACUGGAGAGGCCAUCGAUGUUGUCAUCGGAUCCUCAAGAGAUGACGGAAAGGUGUAUGCUGGAUCCGGGCAAUGAAUAGAAAAGGCUGCUUGGGGGACAUUGUUGCGGUCUACGUCUUACUAUGUUCUGCCGUAUGGCGUCCACAAUGUAUUGGAUGCCAGAUGAGCUUAAGAACAGAAGCGUGACUGGGACUUUGUCCAACAAGUCGCGAUCCAAGGGAAGGACUGAGGCCAGACCAGCCGUGACACCACAAAAGUUGUCAUCCUUGAAAAGUAUAUGAACAUACUGUUCCAAUGAACUGAUCUUCUCAUGUAUAGAUGGCACAUGCAAA